rnacentral:rRNA from 1 species
UGGGGAAUAUUGGACAAUGGGCGCAAGCCUGAUCCAGCAAUGCCGCGUGAGUGAUGAAGGCCUUAGGGUUGUAAAGCUCUUUCGCACGCGACGAUGAUGACGGUAGCGUGAGAAGAAGCCCCGGCUAACUUCGUGCCAGCAGCCGCGGUAAUACGAAGGGGGCUAGCGUUGUUCGGAAUUACUGGGCGUAAAGGGCGCGUAGGCGGCCUGUUUAGUCAGAAGUGAAAGCCCCGGGCUCAACCUGGGAAUAGCUUUUGAUACUGGCAGGCUUGAGUUCCGGAGAGGAUGGUGGAAUUCCCAGUGUAGAGGUGAAAUUCGUAGAUAUUGGGAAGAACACCGGUGGCGAAGGCGGCCAUCUGGACGGACACUGACGCUGAGGCGCGAAAGUGUGGGGAGCAAACAGAUUAGAUACCCUGGUAGUCCACGCCGUAAACGNUGAAUGCUAGACGUCGGGGUGCAUGCACUUCGGUGUCGCCGCUAACGCAUUAAGCAUUCCGCC